rnacentral:tRNA from 1 species
GCCUCGAUAGUGUAAUGGAUCAGCACAGCAGACCGAACAUCUGUAAGUGCGGGUUCGAGCCCCGCCUGAUGUU